CCUACGGGUGGCAGCAGUGGGGGAUAUUGCACAAUGGGGGAAACCCUGAUGCAGCGACGCCGCGUGUGGGAAGACGGUCCUCUGGAUUGUAAACCACUGUCCCCAGGGACGAAGAUGACGGUACCUGGGGAGGAAGCUCCGGCUAACUACGUGCCAGCAGCCGCGGUAAUACGUAGGGAGCGAGCGUUGUCCGGAAGUACUGGGUGAAAAGGGAGCGUAGGCGGGACUGCAAGUUGGGUGUCAAAUCUACCGGCUCAACCGGUAGCCGCACUCAAAACUGCAGUUCUUGAGUGAAGUAGAGGCAGGCGGAAUUCCUAGUGUAGCGGUGAAAUGCGUAGAUAUUAGGAGGAACACCAGUGGCGAAGGCGGCCUGUUGGGCUUUUACUGACGCUGAGGCUCGAAAGUGUGGGGAGCAAACAGGAUUAGAUACCCGAGUAGUC
rnacentral:rRNA from 1 species